CCUCAGUUUAGAGAAGUAACGAUUUUGGUUCAAUUUAAAUAAACCAAACCACACUCUCACCGGUCCAUACUACAGAAGACCAUUUUCAAUCGAAACAAAUUCAUUGUCAAUAGCAUCAACCUUAUUCUCUCCUCUUUGCUCCAUUUUUAUCAUUCUCAGGCUUCUCUCCAAAACACCUAUUUUCCAUUUUGUUGGCAUAUCACUUAACGUUCAGAUUGAAAAAGAAGAAGAAGACAAAACACCAAAAAAUCUUAUGAAAAAAACAAAGCUUUAUGUAACUGAGAUUAAAGAAGAAGAAAGAGAUUGGAAAAUUGAAAGAAUAAUUGGUCGAGGGUUGGCGAAAUCAGUUUCGACAGGAACGAUCCCUCUCUUCGUGAUGAUCUACGCGACGAUCUGCAAAAUUUCGAUUUCAAAAUCCAGAUCUGAAAAGAUGUGGACGGAUAGCGUGUGAAUGGGGUUACGUGGACGCCUCAACAAUUUUUGGACAGAGUAGAAGUAAGAAAGAUUUAUGGACGUCCUUAGCAAACUGACAUAAUUCUCAAGCUCUCAUCCACAAAAUAUUUACUUUCUAUCCCCUAUGUGCGUUUUCACAAUCUGCCUUUUGUGUAUUUUUGUGAUUGAUACCCCAACCUAUAUAAUAUGUUAAACCUAACUCUAGGUAAUUUGUAUUAUGUGGAUGCAAUAGAAUUGGAAAAGUGUA